UGCUGUGGUUUCCUGGAUGUUGCUGAAGGGAUGGGUUAUGCAGGAUGGAACGCAGUUGAGGGGGUGUUUGUGUUAACACAGCACCCCUGGAGCUUGCUGCCUUGUUUUCUGACAGUUCACAGGUGC